rnacentral:misc_RNA from 1 species
AACCUUAUGGACCUGCGGGCGUAUACCUGCGGAAGGAUCAUUAACGCGUCUCCGACGGCGAGGGCGCGCCCCAGCUCCGGGCCGAAAGGCCGCGCUGCGGGGCGGCCCGAGCCGCUCGACCUUUGCGAACCCGCUGUGCACUUUUGUCGGCAGAGGCCCCCCCGGGGCCCGAGCCGGAAUCACAAACCCACUCGAAUCGAACGCUGAGCGGCCCCCGUGCCGCCUAAACUUUGACAACUU